UACGAAGGGGGCUAGCGUUGCUCGGAAUCACUGGGCGUAAAGCGCACGUAGGCGGAUCUUUAAGUCAGGGGUGAAAUCCUGGAGCUCAACUCCAGAACUGCCUUUGAUACUGAGGAUCUUGAGUCCGGGAGAGGUGAGUGGAACUCCGAGUGUAGAGGUGAAAUUCGUAGAUAUUCGGAAGAACACCAGUGGCGAAGGCGGCUCACUGGCCCGGUACUGACGCUGAGGUGCGAAGGCGUGGGGAGCAAACAGG
rnacentral:rRNA from 1 species